rnacentral:rRNA from 1 species
CCUACGGGUGGCAGCAGUGGGGAAUAUUGCGCCAUGGGCGAAAGCUUGACGCAGCGACGCCGCGUGAGGGAUGAAGGUCUUCGGAUCGUAAACCUCUGUCAGCAGGGCAGAACGGUCACUGUGCUAAUCAGCAGUGAAUUGACGGUACCUGCAAAGGAAGCACCGGCUAACUCCGUGCCAGCAGCCGCGGUAAUACGGAGGGUGCGAGCGUUAAUCGGAAUUACUGGGCGUAGAGCGCUCGUAGGCGGUAUGUCAAGUCAAGGGUGAAAUCCCCGCGCGUAACGUGGGAACUGCCGUUGAAACUAGCAAACUUGAGUGUGUGAGAGGAUAGUGGAAUUCCAGGUGUAGGGGUGAAAUCCGUAGAUAUCUGGAGGAACAUCAGUGGCGAAGGCGACUAUCUGGCACAUAACUGACGCUGAGGAGCGAAAGCGUGGGUAGCAAACAGGAUUAGAUACCCGAGUAGUC